AUUGAACGCUGGCGGCAGGCCUAACACAUGCAAGUCGAACGAGUGGCGGACGGGUGAGUAAUGUCUGGGAAACUGCCCGAUGGAGGGGGAUAACUACUGGAAACGGUAGCUAAUACCGCAUACCAUCGGAUGUGCCCAGAUGGGAUUAGAUAGUAGGUGGGGUAACGGCUCACCUAGGCGAAGAUCCCUAGCUGGGCUGAGACGGUGACCAGCCACACUGGAACGGAGACACGGUCCAGACGCCUACGGUAGGCAGCAGUGGGGAAUAUUGCUCAAUGGGCGAAAGCCUGAUGCAGCCAUGCCGCGUGUAUGAAGAAGGUCUUCGGGUUGUAAAGUACUUUCAGCUGGGAGGCGUUACUCGCAGAAGAAGCACCGGCUAACUCCGUGCCAGCAGCCGCGGUAAUAC
rnacentral:rRNA from 1 species